UUGAACGCUGGCGGCGGGCCUAACACAUGCAAGUCGAGCGGAUGAGGGGAGCUUGCUCCUGGAUUCAGCGGCGGACGGGUGAGUAAUGCCUAGGAAUCUGCCUGGUAGUGGGGGAUAACGUCCGGAAACGGGCGCUAAUACCGCAUACGUCCUGAGGGAGAAAGUGGGGGAUCUUCGGACCUCACGCUAUCAGAUGAGCCUAGGUCGGAUUAGCUAGUUGGUGGGGUAAAGGCCUACCAAGGCGACGAUCCGUAACUGGUCUGAGAGGAUGAUCAGUCACACUGGAACUGAGACACGGCCCAGACUCCUACGGGAGGAAGCAGUGGGGAAUAUUAGACAAUGGGCGAAAGCCUGAUCCAGCCAUGCCGCGUGUGUGAAGAAGGUCUUCGGAUUGUAAAGCACUUUAAGUUGGGGGGAAGGGCAGUAAGUUAAUACCUUGCUGUUUUGACGUUACCAACAGAAUAAGCACCGGCUAACUUCGUG
rnacentral:rRNA from 1 species